AAACAGAAUUCGAAUGCACAUUGCACCAUCGCGGUUGAUUCCCGAUGGUACGUCUCGGUUGAGGGUCAA
rnacentral:rRNA from 1 species